GGCUGGUCUGAGUGCAGUGGUGUUUACAACUAAUUGAUCACAACUAGUUACAGAGUUCUUUGUUCCUCCACUCCCACUGCUUCACUUGACUAGCCUAAA
ensembl:misc_RNA Y_RNA Y RNA